rnacentral:rRNA from 1 species
CCGUAAACGAUGAGUGCUAAGUGUUAGGGGGUUUCCGCCCCUUAGUGCUGCAGCUAACGCAUUAAGCACUCCGCCUGGGGAGUACGACCGCAAGGUUGAAACUCAAAGGAAUUGACGGGGGCCCGCACAAGCGGUGGAGCAUGUGGUUUAAUUCGAAGCAACGCGAAGAACCUUACCAGGUCUUGACAUCCCAAUGACCGUCUUAGAGAUAAGACUUUCCCUUCGGGGACAUUGGUGACAGGUGGUGCAUGGUUGUCGUCAGCUCGUGUCGUGAGAUGUUGGGUUAAGUCCCGCAACGAGCGCAACCCUUAUUCUUAGUUGCCAUCAUUUAGUUGGGCACUCUAAGGAGACUGCCGGUGACAAACCGGAGGAAGGUGGGGAUGACGUCAAAUCAUCAUGCCCCUUAUGACCUGGGCUACACACGUGCUACAAUGGACGGUACAGAGAGCUGCAAGCCCGCGAGGGUUAGCCAAUCUCAUAAAACCGUUCUCAGUUCGGAUUGUAGUCUGCAACUCGACUACAUGAAGCCGGAAUCGCUAGUAAUCGCGGAU